rnacentral:rRNA from 1 species
GCCCAGACUCCUACGGGAGGCAGCAGUGGGGAAUAUUGCACAAUGGGCGAAAGCCUGAUGCAGCAACGCCGCGUGAAGGAAGAAGGCCUUCGGGUCGUAAACUUCUGUCCUUGGGGAAGAAGAACUGACGGUACCCAAGGAGGAAGCCACAGCUAACUACGUGCCAGCAGCCGCGGUAAUACGUAGGUGGCAAGCGUUGUCCGGAUUUACUGGGUGUAAAGGGCGUGCAGCCGGAGAGGCAAGUCAGAUGUGAAAUCCGCGGGCUCAACUCGCGAACUGCAUUUGAAACUGCUUCCCUUGAGUAUCGGAGAGGUAAUCGGAAUUCCUAGUGUAGCGGUGAAAUGCGUAGAUAUUAGGAAGAACACCAGUGGCGAAGGCGGAUUACUGGACGACAACUGACGGUGAGGCGCGAAAGCGUGGGGAGCAAACAGGAUUAGAUACCCUUGUA